rnacentral:misc_RNA from 1 species
CUGAGCAGAAGCGCUUCGAGAAGAGGGAUAACCUGAUCUUCUUGCCGGUCCUUCUUCACAAACACACACACACACACACACACACCUCACACGUAGAAGAUGUCCUGCCCUCGCGUUCAGUACCGCCGUCGCAUGCACUACGCCACUCGUGGCAACCGCAUGAAGAUGGUCCGCACCCCGGGCAACAAGCUUGUGAUGCAGAAGCGCGCGAAGCGCUCGCAGGGUAUCCACACCCCGUGGGUGCUCGGCCACAAGCGCCUUGGCGGCACCAAGGCGCUGCGCCACAUCGACGCCCGCCUCGCCUCCCGCCACGAGAAGAGCGUGUCCCGCGCGUACGGUGGUGUGCUGAGCCACGAUCAGGUCCGCGACCGCGUCGUGCGCGCCUUCCUCGUGGAGGAGCAGCGCAUCGUCAAGCAGGCGCUCAAGGAGCACAGCAAGAUGAAGCUCUCGCAUAAGCGCACUGCGAAUAAGAAGAAGAGCAAGCAGUCGAAGAAGGAGGCCAUCGCCAAGAAGAUCUCCACCAAGACGGUUUCCAAGAAGAAGGCGCCGGCGAAGAAAGCCACCACGACGCGCCAGCCGGUCGGCUCUAAGCUGGUGAAGAAGUGAGCGGCCGGGCAAGAAAGCAAACAAACACAUCCAAGGGCACACAUCCGGGUUGUCGGGGAAAGGGGAUCGAGGGAGGGGAGGAAGGGCGUCAGAGUGAGAGGGUUUCGGCAGGACGGAUGUGGGCGAGGCAGCUGGUGCUGUCCCCUCCCCCACCCUCCGCCUUACCGCCUUGCCUUCCUUUCCUCUUCUUCCCUCUCUCCCACCGGUGUGUCUCUCUCGUGCGCUUCCUUGUGCUCCUCCUCUUUAUUUCCUCGUUUCUAGUCUUUCGACUCAUUUCGCAGACACACACACACACACACACACGCAUGCGCACAAGCGUAAAGAGCGGCACGUGCGCACCGAUCACGUGGUGUGGUUCGUGACUUCGCUGGCGUGCGCGAAGGUUUGGGGAAGGGGGUGGGUGGUGGAUCGAGGCAGAGGAUACGCGAGUUGUGUCUUCCCCCCUGCCCCCCUCCCCCUCGUACACCACCCGUGAGCGCUUCGCGCCGUGGUUGUCACCGAAAGAGAGGGUGAGACAUGCCAUCGUCGCUCAUCCGCCUCUGCCUUUUCAUAGCGCCAAUCCCUCAGUGAGGGGCGCAAAAGCGAGCCGUUGGCGUACUUCGGCGGUAUUCUCCACCCUCUCCCUCCCCUUUCUUCCCUCCGUGCCUAAUCCUCUCGCCUUGGCACUUCCCCACCGUUACGCUGAGUUCACAAACCGCCCUCUGCCGCCGUCUCCUUUGCUCCUUUUUCACGCGCACCCACGUGCACCCCACUUCCCCCCUCCACCUCAG